rnacentral:tRNA from 1 species
GUGCGUGUAGCUCAGUUGGCAGAGCAGCGGACUUUUAAUCCGCAGGGCGCCGGUUCGAAUCCGGCCACGCACACCA